UAGGAGCAUUUUAAAGUGGUAUUUUAAUAGUUAAUUCCUCACAUUUUGCUUAGUUAAUUCCUUAACGAAUCGAUUUUUAACUCAAUUUCUAUUUUCUUAGGUACAUUGGAGUAAAUGAUGGUGAAAUGAGCAUUAGGUCCACACUUACCUAUAAAUGGUGGAGAAAAAUGGAAAUGUACUAAAAUGUCAAUUUUACACAUUUUCCUACUCCGGCUAGGAAAAACCAAGCCAAGCAAGGAAGAAGGAGCGGCCGCCGGACCAAAUGAACUUCAAAUGAGCUGAAACUUUCCAGAUCCAUUCUAGACAUCCUAAGGAUCGUUUCUUAUGAAGAGUGCCAGAGCUAGAAUUGAGCGGAAGGCCUUCAAACAGUCAGCCCAAUUUCCUGCAGAAGCAAAACUGGAAAACUGGACCUGUAAGAGGUCCAGCAGCAUUUUCGGCCCAACCACAUGGAAUAAAAAUAUGAAAUUUUACCAGGGUGAUCUACACUCAUAAUGGAACAUUUUUUAUGAAGAGGUCAUAGUGAAAUUGGGAAUGCUUGUUGGAGAAAUAAUUGAAGGAAUAAAGGGGCAGAAACUGAUCUAAAAACAGCUCAACACCACAUGUUCAAGUUUCCUACCCACAUGAAGAAAGCUAGAUGCUUUUCUCUUUUUCCUUGGAUAUAUUUUUCUGCUCCAAUAGAUCAUCAUCACUUCCAUACUUCUACACCUUCAUGCCUUGCUUUCAUUUCAUCAUUACUCCAUCUUUUCCAUAUUUUACAAACCACUUUCAUUAUUUUUCUUCCAUUUAUCAUUUCACUCUUCUUUUUCUUCCCUAUAUAAACACCUUCUCCUCUCACUCUAAACACAUUCCUUCAUCCAUUCCAUCUUCUUGUCUCACCAUUUCCUUUCCAUUUUCCCACACAUUCCUUCAUCCAUUCCAUCUUCUUGUCUCACCAUUUCCUUUCCAUUUUCCCACACAUUCCUUCAUCCAUUCCAUCUUCUUGUCUCACCAUUUCCUUUCCAUUUUCCAAAACAUUCCUUCAUCCAUUUCAUCUUCUUUGUCUCUCCAUUUCCAUUCCAUUUUUCUCUCCAUUCUCUAGUUGCAAAAUUCUGCGUUUUCAAGUAAGAAGAAGAAGAAGGAGCCGGGAAUAUCAUAUCCUCCAUCGUCCACCUUGAAGGCUUGCUUCCAAGAUUCAAGAUUUCAACGUUUCAAGCACUCCAUCUCCAUCUCCAACUCACGGUGUGUACCCUCAAUCCCCGGAAUAGAACGAUCCCUAUUUGCUUAUACUACUAACGAUGUUUUCAGGGUUAAAUUAUGCGCUUGCUUUGAGCGUAUCAAUUUUUGGCGCCGUUGCCGGGGAUUGAAAAAUCACUUGUUUUUGUUUUUAAUUAUUGUAUAUAAACUGUUUGAUACUUAGUUUAAAUUAACUAGGUUGUUUUGUUUUUAAUUAUUGUAUAUAAACUGUUUGAUACUUAGUUUAAAUUAACUAGGUUGUUUUUUUUUUAUUGUUGAAUACGAGUUUAAUUGUGAGUUGUAAAUUAAAGAAGGAAUAGGUGAAGUCGUGUUUAUUAAUAUUGGCCUAAACCCCUUAUUGGUACCUAGUUCAGGUCCCUUAAGGUUGAGGGCGGCCUUUAUUAACAUUCAUUGAACUGUCUAACACACUUAGGACCUUUUACAUCCUAGUAAGAAUAUCCUAUGUGAGAUGGUGUCUAGGAAGGGGACAACGUUCAUGACGGGUUUUUGAAUCCAGAAGUGCUUACAAAUGGGCCUAGCUCAUGCCAAAAUGGAUUUUUCCUCUCGUGUUCACCCUCCCCUACCUGGCCAUUUCAGUAAGGUUGCCCAACGGAUGUAGGAGGGACUUUGUGUCUAGACGACUAUACUUGGGCCGCACGUCCACUUGAUUUACCGCUUGGAAUUAGAUUUGAUAUCAAUAAUGUUUAUAACAAAAGAAAUACUUGUGCAUACUCUUUACGUGUAAAUUAUUUUGUUGUUUCACACUUUAUACUUGUAAAAAUAUUUUUUACGUUUUAUACUCACUUGUGUACUUAACUUGUGUCUUAUGUACAAAAUACUUGUUAAUUAUACUUGUAGUUUGUAAUUCAUAGUUACUUGUUUUUUUUUUUUUUUUUUUUUUUUUUUUUUUUUUUUU